AGAGAAAAAUUUUAAGGAAAUCUGUAAAACUCUACGUAGGUAAAACCAAAGGGAAUCUAAGGACAUUCACAGUAUUAAACUUUUACCUAAAUUAUAUGAAAUUUAUAUUAAAAUAUCAACGAAUACUAUAACAAAUUGAUUUAAAUCCUUGGAAUGUGACAGCAAUUUCUGAUAAAAAAAAAUAAAGAAACCUAAAAAGAAAUUAAAUAUUUUUAUUUUGCACCAAGAUAUUUACGCAAUAUAUAUACGUAUAAGCCGGUAGAAAAUUCCUCGGGAUAUUUAAGUAGUACGCUGUGGUGAUUAAUGAGAAACAACAAUAAAACUCAGGCAACACUGUGUAUAGAAGAAAUUAAAAACAACUCCAUCUACCAACAAUCGCCCACCUUACUAAAUAUCCCGAGUGAGUAUUAACUAAGUUCUAAAAUCUCUAUAGUAGCAAAUACACCAACCGUAAAGGCUUAUGCAUAAAAACAAAAUACAUUCCACGAUAAAAUACAGUGGGUAUUAUAUAAACUACCUGAUAAACUAACCCUGAGAGUUUAAAUUAACAAUCUUUGAUGAGAAAUAAAUAGACAAAACUAAUCAAUUUAGAAUAUGUUUAAGAAUUAAUAUAAUAUAUAAAUAUUUCAUUAAUACAAAACUAAAACAAAAUAUGCAUGUAUAGCACCCUAAUAUAUACAGGUCUAUAGAUUUAUACAUGCCUAGGUAUAAAUAUAUAUGUGAAGCAAAUAUAUAUUGAAAGAUAUGUAGGGAUAAAUAUAUGCUUAUAUAUGUACUUAUACCUACUUAACCAUUAAUAUAUAAAUCAAGCUUUAAUUAAUAGUUAGGUAAAACGAUACUAUAAAAAAAUUAUAGUGUAUAUUUAUAUGUAUAACAAAAGAAAAACUAACAAACAAACCAAUGAAGAUAAAAAAAAAUAUAUCUACAUAUAAAAAAAAAAAAAUUAAAUAAUAUAUAGAAAUAUACAUAUGCAAAUGUAAUAUAAUACCAUAAUUACAAUAAAUAAAAAUAUUAAUACUUACCUAUACCAUAAUAAAUAACUAAAAUCACAUAAAAUAAACCAUAUAAAAAUAAAAUAUAAAUAAACUUAUAUAAAAGAAUAAUAAAACUAACAUAAAUACAUAAAUAUAAUAAAAUAAACCCAUAAAGAUAAAAUUAAUAAGUGAAGAAAU